UUAGGUACCCACUUAUUCCGAUGAAAACUUUGCUACAGUGGCUGCUUGAGUACUACGAGUGCUUAAAACUCAAAGAAUUUGGCGGCUCGUUAACUACCUAGGGGAAUAUGUGCCUUAAUCCGAUGAUGCCCGUUUUAUCUUACUGUAUCUUGAAGAAGAGCAGUUGGUGUAUUGCCGUUGUCAGCUUGUUGUCAAGCAAAAGAAACAGGCUUAAUGGAAUUAAAAUCCAUGAAUUCAGGUCGAAAUGCUGCCUAUGGUGCAGGGAGCAGGUAUUACAGUUUCAAACUUAAAAUGACGGAUCCCAUGAAAUUGAAGGGGGACUUAGGAGUAAGGGGGAAUUAAUAUGUCCCCCUGAACUGAAUCUAACUUGUGCACAAACCGCCCGUCGCUCUCGCU
rnacentral:rRNA from 1 species